UUGAGCCGUAUGACGGGAAACUGUCACGUACGGUUCUUAGGCGGGAAAGCGGUGGUAACACCGCUGACCCAGCCGAU
rnacentral:ncRNA from 1 species